CCCUUAGAUGUUCUGGGCCGCACGCGCGCUACACUGAUGCAUUCAACGAGCCUAUCCUUGACCGACAGGUCCGGGCAAUCUUUGAAUCUGCAUCGUGACGGGGAUAGAUUAUUGCAAUUAUUAAUCUUCAACGAGGAAUGCCUAGUAGGCGCAAGUCAUCAGCUUGCGUCGAUUACGUCCCUGCCCUUUGUACACACCGCCCGUCGCUCCUACCGAUUGGGUGUGCUGGUGAAAUGUUCGGAUCGGCCGUUUGUCGCGGUUUCCGCGGCUCGUGGCUGAGAAGUUCAUUAAACCCUCCCACCUAGAGGAAGGAGAAGUCGUAACA
rnacentral:rRNA from 1 species